rnacentral:tRNA from 1 species
GAUGUGGCUCAGUGGUAGAGCACUCGCCUGGCAUGUGUGAGGCCCUGGGUUAGAUCCUCAGCACAACA